rnacentral:rRNA from 2 species
AGUCAUAUGCUUGUCUCAAAGAUUAAGCCAUGCAUGUCUCAGUACAAGCCAAAUUAAGGUGAAACCGCGAAAGGCUCAUUAAAUCAGUUAUGGUUCCUUAGAUCGUACACACAUUUACUUGGAUAACUGUGGUAAUUCUAGAGCUAAUACAUGCUAACAGAACUCUGACCGGAGACGGAAGGAGUGCCUUUAUUAGAUCAAAACCAAUCGGUGGCACGGCCACGGUCGUGUCAUCGUACAAUAUGGUGAAUCUGAAUAACGAUUGCUGAUCGCACGGUCUCGCACCGGCGACGCAUCUUUCAAAUGUCUGCCUUAUCAACUGUCGAUGGUAGGUUCUGCGCCUACCAUGGUUGUAACGGGUAACGGGGAAUCAGGGUUCGAUUCCGGAGAGGGAGCCUGAGAAACGGCUACCACAUCCAAGGAAGGCAGCAGGCGCGCAAAUUACCCACUCCCGGCACGGGGAGGUAGUGACGAAAAAUAACGAUACGGGACUCAUCCGAGGCCCCGUAAUCGGAAUGAGCACACUUUAAAUCCUUUCACGAGGAUCAAUCGGAGGGCAAGUCAGGUGCCAGCAGCCGCGGUAAUUCCUGCUCCGAUAGCGUAU